CUAUUUUUUAUUAUACUAUGCUGAAUAAUUAAGUUUGAGGCUAAGUGUCACAUGGAUUUAUCUUUUAAUUAAAAAAGCAUGGUUCACGCAUAUUUGAGUGGUAGUCCAAAUAAAUGCAAUAUAGAAAUUUAUGUUUGUUUAUCUAGGUGUUAAUUACCUAGAGAUUGUUCUGGAUUACUUCUUUUUAUAAAGUGUCAUAGGCUCGUUGUCAGAAGGAAUAAAGCUCGCCCGUGGAACCUUAUCAAUUUGCUAACUAUAGUGCUGGCCUGACCUGGGGAGGGGGAGGGGAAAACUUUGGGGAUUGUUGUGUAUACACACGCCCCCAUUCAACCCACACCAAAUAAAACAGUCGUUUUAGAAAAUAUUCCUAGGACAUAAAGGCACAAAUAUAUCUUCGUUGUUUUACAGCCUCUUGUCCACAGCUAUUUAUAAAACAUGUGAUUAUUUAUGCGUCAGGUUAUGAGAAGUUCGCUGGGAGAAGCGGUAAAGGAGGCUCCAUCAAUCCCGUUACCUGGUACCCGGGAGGGGCUGAGGGAGGGGAAGGUCGCCUGGGGGAAAAGUGGGCUGAGACAGGAAGCUGGCUGCUGUGAUUUGUCUAAAACGUGUCAGUUUUGCCCUCAGAAAAUCCAGGCAGUGGGAGAGAGACAGCAAAGCUGAAGGCCAGAGGUCACUUUCUUUUGAAACCAAGGAUGCCCAGCAAAGAAUCCAGAGUCACCCACAAAGUGUUCUUCAUUCCUUCAGGCAGUCCUUGCUUUGUUCUUUGUUUACAAAGUGAUUUGGGGUGGCAGGUUCAAUCAAAGGGCUUGGAAGAAAACAGAAACUUUGGUCAAAAGGCUCGACUUCAAAGAAAUAAACGUUUCGCGGACAGGAAGAAGCCCACUGGGAUCUGCAAACCUCCACUUUAGGGUGCACACUUUUGUCCUGAAGAUUUCAUUUCCUUGCUUUCUCUGCACUGCUUUACUUUUCUUUUUUUAGGCAGGAUCCUACUGCCGUGCAGGCUGCCCUUGAACUCAUUUGUGUAGCCCAGGCUGGUCUCAAACUCAUCUUGAUCUUCCUGCCUCGGCCUCUGCAGUGCGGGGGUCACAGGCGCGCGCCCCCACGCCCAGCCUACCUUGUCUCUUUUUGCUGCACACACAAAUUUUCGUUUAUCAGACACCAGAAAAUCAGACUAAGUUACUGUGGGUCCUGAUGGACAAUGCCCUGCGUGAUGGGCUAUUUUCCCGGGUCUCACAGACAGCGGUGGGGCAGACAGGCACCCACACUCAAGCCAAGAAGAGGGGAGCCACGGAAGCUCCUAUCCAGCAACCGGCCCUGUGAGGAGGCUUUCCUUGGAGAAGGUUUCAUUUUCAUUUUUUGUUUCCUUCCUCCUGGCGCCCAGGCGGACUAAUGGGGCGGGUCGCCGUCAGGUCCGCGACCUUGCUCUUGGCUGCGCGCCUGGAGAGGUGGCCCGGGCCGGGCACUGUGCGGGGCGCGGCGCCAGGCGGGGGCGCCCGGGGCCUUCGUGUCGCCACGGGGGCGGGGGGCGUCCUUGGGCGCCGACUCGCUGCAGCCCGGGCCACCGGAUCAGUCCCGCGGCUCCGGGGAUCAAAGCAGUGAAGAGUCGGCCGUGCAGGAUGAGCUUGCCGCACCCCAGCAGUAUGAUGCCCAACUCUUCAGUCCCCGCCGAAGAAGGAAGGAAGGGGACCAACGCAGAAGGCGCAGAGGCUCAGCGACGCCCGGCUGAUGGCUGUGUAUGAACACGGAGCCAGGCUCGCAUCAGACAGAGAUGCUGGCACCCUGAUGUGACACCUCCAGACUCUGGACCUAUAUCUACCUGCAGUACUCAACGCUGAGGAGAGCCUUUGUCCCUCUCGGCAAUUGGAGCCACUGGCCAGAGGCUUGAAUUCAGGCAGCUCUACCAUCUCCACCAUUUCCAGAACCUCGGAAGAAUCACUUCUUCAAUGGCCCAGGUCAAUGUGCAAUAACUGAAUAAAAGAGAAAAUUCCAUAAAUCAACUGGAAACAAAGAUGAAAUCAUAGGAAGAUCCUUAUCAUGCGGGUAAAACUUAAAGUCAAGGUGUAGCAGAUGGGUGACGCUGCACUGUCCACCAGGCACUUUGUUAGAGGUCAGCAAGAAAUUAGCCUGGUCUUUGUCCCUCUUGGAACUCUGAGUUUAAUGGAAGACACAUAUUCAACCAAAUAAUCAAGUGCUCUAAUCACCAGGAAAGGUACCAUUAGAGAGGAAGGAGAGAAAAGUCACUUGCUCAGGGGGACAGACAAUGGAAUGUCACCUGAUCCAGUCUCUGGGAAGUCAGGGUCAGCCUUACCUACCCUAUUUUGAAAUAAUGGGAAAAAUAUUUGAAAGCAAAAGUAAAUAAAGCCCUUUCUGCCUGCUAAGAAUACGUACCUGGGAG